AGGUGUGAUUAUACCAACACUAAUAUGUACUAGCUUCCAUUAGAUCUAUAAAGUUAAAUGUGUUUAGGCGAGAGUAGUGCUAAGAUGAGUGACCUUUUGAAAAGUUCUCGUGUUGCAUUCC
rnacentral:rRNA from 1 species